ensembl:lncRNA
AAGUCAGAAUCUCUGGGGGUGGAACCCUGGCAGCUGCAUUUUAAAAAAACUCCCUGAGUGAUUCCAAUGUUCAGCCAAGUUUGAGAAUUGCUGCUCUGGAUAAGACUUACCCUUCCAGUGUGUGUCACUGGGCAAGUCCUUCAUCCUGUUACUAUUGGAGAGCAGGGUCUGGUGGGUCAGCUCUGGUGCUCUGCCAGGUGCCAGCAUGCCGACAUUUGGAAGGUUGCUUCCGAUUGCCCAUUUCAGAUUCUGGCUUCGUCUGAGGGGAGGCCUCAUAGUGACAGCAAUGCUGGGCCAGGGCUGUAUCCACACUGAACUAUUGGAUGCUCCUGAGAAGUGUCAUACAUGUCUGGGCUUCUGAUACUUAGCACACGCUCCCUCUGCCUGCAGCACCUUCACACCUUGCUCUACAUCUUGCAUUGCACUCACCCUUCAAGAUUUGGAAAAGCGCUUUCUCCACCACGAAGCCCUCCUGCAUGCCUCAGUUGCAGCUAAUCUCUCACAGCAUUUUAUGUGAUCCUAUGAACCUCUGUUACAACAACAGGCUUGUUCAUGUUCUGUGUUCCUUCCCAGAACAUGAGCCCCCUGAGGUCUGUAACCAUAUACGGAGCUGGUCAAUGGUAGAGGCACAAUAUAUUAUUAU